rnacentral:piRNA from 1 species
UAGAAAACAAUGUAGAUGUGCAACUUGGU